rnacentral:rRNA from 1 species
AGAGAAUAGAUACCCUGGUGGUCCACGCCCUAAACGAUGGAUACUAGGCGUAAGAGGUAUCGACCCCUCUUGUGCCGCAGCUAACGCACUAAGUAUCCCGCCUGGGGAGUACGGCCGCAAGGUUGAAACUCAAAUGAAUUGACGGGGACCCGCACAAGCGGUGGAGCAUGUGGAUUAAUUCGAUACUAACCGAAGAACCUUACCCAGACUUGACAUCGAUCGCAAGCUCUAGAAAUAGGGCCCUCCCCCACAAGGGGACGUGAAGACACUUGUUGCAUGGCUGUCGUCAGCUCGUGCCGUGAGGUGUACGGUUAAGUCCGCCAACGAGCGCAACCCUCGUCCUGUGUUACCAGCAUGAAAGAUGGGAACUCACAGGAGACCGCCGGUGUAAGCCGGAGGAAGUGGGGAUGACGUCAAGUCAGCAUGGCAGUUACGUCUGGGGCUUCACACAUGCUACAAUGGGCGAAAC